AACUGAUAUCUUUGCUUACUGAAAAGAUAAGUCGUCUCCUAUGGUGUUUUAGCUGUUAACCUUUCAUCUUGGAGGCUCUUGUAGUUAAUUAAGGAACAUUAGAAGAACUCGGGAUACCAUUAAAUUACGAAAGUAUAGAGCGUUGGUUGUAUUAGUCCUCAUUUGCCCCAGAAAGUAGCUGUGCCCAUGAUUCUAAAGAAAGCAUGAAAGUGCCUUUUUUCCGUUGGGAUCGAAGCUGUUAAAUUUUCAUCCCGGAUGCUCUUGUAGUUAAUUAAGGGAUGUUAGAAGAACUCCAGAUGCCAUUAAAUUGUGGAGCAUUGAUUGUGUUGGUUCUCAUUGACUCCAAAAAGUGACUAUUCCUAUGGUCAUAAAGAAAGCAUGAAAGUGCCUUUCCAUUGGGAACGGAGGCAAUGUGCUGAAGAAGAAGUGUGUUGCUGAAGGAGGGAUUUAUGACUAAACUGAUUGUCCCACAAAUGACGAGGGAUUGCAGUUAAUUUUGAUGCUACUGAAGCAACCGAUACUUUUGAUGUCUUCAUCUUGCAACAUUAUGCAGUUAAUUUUUGCCGUUACAACAAGAGACUGUUGGAAAUUAAUUAAUUUGGAAACGACUGGAACAACAAAUUGUUUGCAGUGGUAUCCCUCCUAGAUUUGGUUUGCUCAUCACACUGGUAGACUAUAGAACGCCACUUUCUACAAUUAAUUAAGGUUAUACAAUAAAUGAGAGAAUUAAUGUGCAGUUUGGUUAUACGGCCUGUAUCUACAAGGGUGUGGUCUUUCCUGGAUUAUAUUCUUGAUUUGCCGUUUCGUUAUCGCCUUGUAACAUCAUGCAAUUAAUUUUUUCCCUAACAACGGGAGGCAUUUGGAAAUUAAUUGAUUUGGAAGCGUCUGGAACAACAAAUUGUUUGCAGUGGUAUCCGUCCUAGA